GAUGAACGCUGGCGGCGUGCCUAAUACAUGCAAGUCGAGCGAACGGACGAGAAGCUUGCUUCUCUGAUGUUAGCGGCGGACGGGUGAGUAACACGUGGAUAACCUACCUAUAAGACUGGGAUAACUUCGGGAAACCGGAGCUAAUACCGGAUAAUAUUUUGAACCGCAUGGUUCAAAAGUGAAAGACGGUCUUGCUGUCACUUAUCGAUGGAUCCGAGCUGCAUUAGCUAGUUGGUAAGGUAACGGCUUACCAAGGCAACGAUGCAUAGCCGACCUGAGAGGGUGAUCGGCCACACUGGAACUGAGACACGGUCCAGACUCCUACGGGAGGCAGCAGUAGGGAAUCUUCCGCAAUGGGCGAAAGCCUGACGGAGCAACGCCGCGUGAGUGAUGAAGGUCUUCGGAUCGUAAAACUCUGUUAUUAGGGAAGAACAUAUGUGUAAGUAACUGUGCACAUCUUGACGGUACCUAAUCAGAAAGCCACGGCUAACUACGUG
rnacentral:rRNA from 1 species